rnacentral:rRNA from 1 species
GAUGAACGCUGGCGGCGUGCCUAAUACAUGCAAGUCGAGCGAACAGACGAGGAGCUUGCUCCUCUGACGUUAGCGGCGGACGGGUGAGUAACACGUGGAUAACCUACCUAUAAGACUGGGAUAACUACGGGAAACCGGAGCUAAUACCGGAUAAUAUAUUGAACCGCAUGGUUCAAUAGUGAAAUACGGUUUUGCUGUCACUUAUCGAUGGAUCCGCGCCGCUUUAGCUAGUUGGUAAGGUAACGGCUUACCAAGGCUACGAUGCGUAGACGACCUGAGAGGGUGAUCGGCCACACUGGAGCUGAGACACGGUCCAGAGUCCUACGGUAGGCAGCAGUAGGGAAUCUUCCGCAAUAGGCGGAAGCCUGACGGAGCAGCGCCGCGUGAGUGAUGAAGGUCUUCGGAUCGUAAAACUCUGUUAUGAGGGAAGAACAAAUGUGUAAGUAACUAUGCACGUCUUGACGGUACCGAAUCAGAAAGCCACGGCUAACUACGUG